CCCAUCUCUCUCUUGAGUUUUUUUUAUUUCCUGUGCAAGUUCGGAGGUCGGAGCGCUCAAAAAUUCUCCUGUCUAGGUUUAUUGGCGCGAGGCAUUUUGGGGUUCCGACGGGGUUCCGACUCUUAGAGAGUUCUCUUCCGGUGCGGCGCUGCUAGUCGUGCAGCGGUUGAACUGAUUGAACGCAUCUGCACCUUCUGAAUUUUCUUCCCUCUGCAUCUGCGCCUUAUGGAUUCCCUUUCCCGUGCAUCUACAAUAAAAGCUGUUGUGCGACACUACAAGCGCAUCGCAUGGAGGGUUGUAGUGGCGGCUAGAUGGUCGACUGAGCGUGUGGGAGCGCAUCCCGUGGACUAGGAGCUUGUCUUCAAUGGCUAUUCAUCGGGUGGUUGUAGGCAACAUUAUCAGCAACGUGUUGAUUGUGUUGUUUUUUGGUGGAGCUCAAAGCAGCGGCGGCCACUCUACCUUUUGGCUGGUAUUCCUCAACGUGUGAAUCUCACGGUGGAGGGAAUUUAUCGGCAUCAGUGGAAGCGUGGAAUGAGCAGGACGUCGUCUACCUCUGCUUUGCAAUUCUUAUUUAAUCUUUGCUGAGCGAUUGAAGCAUCCCUUGUUGACCAUUCCUUGCUCCUUGCUUCCUUCAAGCGGACCGUCAACGCGGCUUUGGUUUGUA